rnacentral:rRNA from 1 species
GACGAACGCUGGCGGCGUGCUUAACACAUGCAAGUCGAACGGAAAGGCCCUGCUUGCCGGGUGCUCGAGUGGCGAACGGGUGAGUAACACGUGGGUGAUCUGCCCCUUACUUUGGGAUAAGCCUGGGAAACUGGGUCUAAUACUGGAUAGGACCAUGCUGUAGGUGGUGUGGUGGAAAGAUUAGUUUCGGUAAGGGAUGAGCUCGCGGCCUAUCAGCUUGUUGGUGGGGUAAUGGCCUACCAAGGCGUCGACGGGUAGCCGGCCUGAGAGGGUGGACGGCCACAUUGGGACUGGGAUACGGCCCAGACUCCUACGGGAGGCAGCAGUGGGGAAUAUUGCACAAUGGGCGCAAGCCUGAUGCAGCGACGCCGCGUGGGGGAUGACGGCCUUCGGGUUGUAAACUCCUUUCAGCCAUGACGAAGCCCUUGUGGUGACGGAAGUGGUAGAAGAAGCACCGGCUAACUACGUG